rnacentral:rRNA from 1 species
UCUCGGACGGGGGUGGUAACGCGUGAGAAUCUGCCUCUAGGACGGGGACAACAGAAGGAAACUUCUGCUAAUCCCGGAUGAGCCGUAAGGUUAAAGAUUUAUCGCCUAGAGAUGAGCUCGCGUCUGAUUAGCUAGUUGGUGUGGUAAAGGCACACCAAGGCAACGAUCAGUAGCUGGUCUGAGAGGAUGAUCAGCCACACUGGGACUGAGACACGGCCCAGACUCCUACGGGAGGCAGCAGUGGGGAAUUUUCCGCAAUGGGCGAAAGCCUGACGGAGCAAGACCGCGUGGGGGAGGAAAGCCUUUGGGUUGUAAACCCCUUUUCUCAGGGAAGAAGAAAGUGACGGUACCUGAGGAAUCAGCCUCGGCUAACUCCGUGCCAGCAGCCGCGGUAAUACGGAGGAGGCAAGCGUUAUCCGGAAUGAUUGGGCGUAAAGCGUCCGCAGGUGGCUCAUCAAGUCUGCUGUUAAAUCCAGUAGCUUAACUACUGAGGGGCAGUGGAAACUGAGGAGCUAGAGUGCGGUAGGGGCAGAGGGAAUUCCUGGUGUAGCGGUGAAAUGCGUAGAGAUCAGGAAGAACACCGGUGGCGAAAGCGCUCUGCUGGGCCGCAACUGACACUCAGGACGAAGCAGAGUCC